CUGCGGAUUGACGUGAGGCCACACAGGCAGUGCCACAGGCCGGGGAGAGAGGGACGCAGGCCUGAGAGUGAGGACCCAAGGAACCAUGCUCCUCCUCAGGGCCCUGCGCCCCUCCAGUCCCUGCCACCUCAGUCACCUUGGAGGUGCCGGAAGUCCUAACCUGUGCUCUCCGCCCAGCCCUGGCUCAGUUCUCUGCUCAGGAUACAGAGAGCUGGAAGCAACUCCCUGCUCAAACUUGUCUGGCCCAGAUCUCAGGCUCACAGCCACGCAGACGUGAAAGUGAGCAGCAGCCAGGAUUCCCACCAUCACAGCCUCAGAGCUGGACACUGACCACAGGACACAGGAGCUGCCCCAGGGAAGAGCCGAGCUGAGCCUCUGCCUGGGCGGCAGGGUUCUCGCCACACAGACGUCCGGACCUUGCUGACAAGCCCUCAGUGGAGUGUCCGAGAGGUAGCUGCCCUACGGGGGGAUACCAACUGCAGCGGUGCACACCUGUACUCAGCCUGGGAGGCUGAGGCAGGAGGAUCUCAAGUUCCAGCACAGCC